GACGAACGCUGGCGGCGUGCCUAACACAUGCAAGUCGAGCGAAGUUAUUCCGUCGGGGAUAACUUAGCGGCGGACGGGGGAGGAACACGUGGGUAACAUGCCUGAUAGAGGGGGAUAGGCUUACGAAAGGAAGAUGAAUACCGCAUAACAUCAGAUUCUCGAAUGGCGAUUCGAUCAAAGGGGCAAUCCGCUAUAAGAUGGACCCGCGGCGCAUUAGCUAGUUGGUGAGGUAACGGCUCACCAAGGCGACGAUGCGUAGCCGACCUGAGAGGGUGAUCGGCCACAUUGGGACUGGGACACGGCCCAGACUCCUACGGGAGGCAGCAGUGGGGAAUAUUGCACAAUGGGGGAAACCCUGAUGCAGCAACGCCGCGUGAGUGAUGAAGGCCUUCGGGUUGUAAAGCUCUGUCUUUGGGGACGAUAAUGACGGUACCCAAGGAGGAAGCCACGGCUAACUACGUGCCAGCAGCCGCCGUAAAAC
rnacentral:rRNA from 1 species